AAGCCACAAUUGAAGGUUUAAAAAAUGUACAGAACUAUAACAGUACAACUAAGAACGCAGCAUUUAAGCAAAUCUUGUUGGAUCUAUUCAGCAUCGAGCAGACAAAAUGUUAAAUAAGCAAUGGAUUUCUCACUCGACAAUCUUUUAAGGACACCUUGGGUUGGAAUUCAUUCUAUCAAGAUGACAGAUUUUAAGUGCUGCCUUCUUGAACUGCUGCAGUCCACCUGCUGCAGGUUGACCUACCAUGCCAUUAGGGAGGGAAUUCCAGUAUUUUGACCAGCGACAAAGAAGUAAAGGCGAGUCAGAAUGGUCCAGUAAAAGUUGAUGUCGCAAAUCAAAAAUGCCAAUUAAUCCAAUGCAGUUCGUGGGAAGAGUAGGAAUCAAACAAAAUCACACCUUGACAUAUAUCAGUGCUUCAGAAACUUAAGAGACUCUCCACCUUUGACUCUUUACACUAUGAACAGUGGCAGAAAAGUACUUCAACCUUCAGCUGGAUCUUUUACAAUCACUUCAGACUGAUAACACUGCCUGGACGGAGAUGGAGUGAAAAUCAGAGAGAGUGGAUGCAAGAGAAUGCAAAUACAUUGCUUGUUUUCACUCAAGUUGAUGUCACAUUCACCAGACAGUUCAGCCGGCACUCAUAACAGCAUAUUCCAGCAAGUAUGAUUUCAGUACAUUUUCGAAGAACUGGAAAUCCCAAAUGUUUGCAGACCUUAGCAGUUAUGUUGUUGUCUAACUUAUAGUGUGGCUUUAUAUUAUUAAAAUUGUGCUGGGUGGCAAUCAUUAGAUUUACCCUACAUUAUCAGUACACCUGCUUACUUUGUAUUCAAUAUUAUAUGAUGUGGCUUGUGGUAUUCUGUGUGUUAGCCAAUGUAACAUGUACAACAAAUAAGUGGGUUCUUGUAGAGACGUACGUUAUUAACAUGAAAUAUUUACACAGCCAUAACAUCACAGAUUUGAUUUGACAGGCAGCAAAUAACAUUCACAUGACACAAGUCUCCUAGAUAAUGACCAUCCCCAGUCAGAGACUUCUAUCCACUGCCCCUUCAUUUCAAAGGCAUUACUAUCACUGAACCCCACACCAACUUCUGACAGGUUAGCAUUAACGAGAAACUUAACUAGACCAGCCCAUGUGUGUUGUGGAUUCCUCUCAAAGUCACCAUUUUGGCUUCAAACAAUGUCAGUGUUCCUUCACUGUCUCUGGGUCAAAAACUUCGAACUCCCUCCCCGACACCACUGUUGGUGCUCCUAUACUCCAAGUGGUUCAAGAAACCAGCUCACCACCAGCUCCAGAGGAAUUAGGAGUAGACAAUAAAUACUUGGCUAGUCAGUAAUGUCCAUAUCUAUUACAUGAAUUAAAAAAA